UUCCUCAAUUGAUAGCAUGUAAACUAAAACUGGAAAUAUACAGAGAAUAUUAGUAUGGCCCCUCAGUAAAGGACAAUGAACAUAUUUGUGAAGUGUUAGAUUUAUUU
rnacentral:snRNA from 1 species